UGGUUAAAAAGCUCGUAGUUGGAUCUCGGCGGACUGAGGGCGGUUUGCUUGCUAGUAUUACUGCCCUAUAGUCCGUAGUUUCGCCAGAGGUUUCGGGGUGCUCUUAAUCGAGUGUCCUGGAAUGCUGGCAGGUUUACUUUGAAAAAAUUAGAGUGCUCAAAGCAGGCUAUUACGCCUGAAUAUUCGUGCAUGGAAUAAUAGAAUAGGAAGUCGUUUCUAUUUUGUUGGUUUUCGGAAAUCGACUUAAUGAUUAAUAGGGACAGUCGGGGGCAUUUGUAUUCAAACGACAGAGGUGAAAUUCUUGGACCGUUUGAAGACAAACUACUGCGAAAGCAUUUGCCAAGAAUGUUUUCAUUAAUCAAGAACGAAAGUUAAAGGUUCGAAGGCGAUUAGAUACCGCCCUAGUUUUAACCAUAAACGAUGCCAGCUAGCGAUCUGCGGACGUUUUUUUUGUAGACUCCGCAGGAAGCUUCCGGGAAACCAAAGCAUUUGGGUUCCAGGGGAAGUAUGGUUGCAAAGCUGAAACUUAAAGGAAUUGACGGAAGGGCACCACCAGGAGUGGAGCCUGUGGCUUAAUUUGACUCAACACGGGAAAUCUCACCAGGCCCGGACACUGGAAGGAUUGACAGAUUGAUAGCUCUU
rnacentral:rRNA from 1 species